CCUUCGGGACCUAGUGGCGGACGGGUGAGUAACGCGUGAGGAUCUGCCUUCAGGUCUGGGACAACAGUUGGAAACGACUGCUAAUACCGGAUGUGCCGAGAGGUGAAAGGCUUGCUGCCUGAAGAUGAACUCGCGUCUGAUUAGCUAGUUGGUGGGGUAAAGGCCCACCAAGGCGACGAUCAGUAGCUGGUCUAAGAGGAUGAUCAGCCACACUGGGACUGAGACACGGCCCAGACUCCUACGGGAGGCAGCAGUGGGGAAUUUUCCGCAAUGGGGGCAACCCUGACGGAGCAACGCCGCGUGUGGGAGGAAGGCCCUAGGGUUGUAAACCACUUUUCUCUGGGAAGAAGGACUGACGGUACCAGAGGAAUAAGCCUCGGCUAACUCCGUGCCAGCAGCCGCGGUAAGACGGAGGAGGCAAGCGUUAUCCGGAAUUAUUGGGCGUAAAGCGUCCGCAGGCGGCUUUUUAAGUCUGUUGUUAAAGCCCACAGCUCAACUGUGGAUCGGCAAUGGAAACUGAGGAGCUUGAGUGCGGUAGGGGUAGAGGGAAUUCCCGGUGUGGCGGUGAAAUGCGUAGAUAUCGGGAAGAACACCAGUGGCGAAGGCGCUCUACUGGGCCGCAACUGACGCUGAGGGACGAAAGCUAGGGGAGCGAAAGGGAUUAGAUACCCCUGUAGUCCUAGCUGUAAACGAUGGACACUAGGUGUUGCGCGUAUCGACCCGUGCAGUACCGUAGCUAACGCGUUAAGUGUCCCGCCUGGGGAGUACGCACGCAAGUGUGAAACUCAAAGGGAAUUGACGGGGGCCCGCACAAGCGGUGGAGGAUGGUGGGUUUAAUUCGAUGCAACGCGAAGAA
rnacentral:rRNA from 1 species